GGUCUGUUGGUCAAGUGGUCAAGACGCUGCCCUCUCACGGCAGAAUCAGGGGUUCGACUCCCCUACAGACUG
rfam:Blautia sp. An249 An249_contig_9, whole genome shotgun sequence.